GUGAAUCAUCAAAUUUUUGAACGCAAAUUGCACUCUCUGGUAUCCCGGAGAGUAUGCCUGUUUGAGGGUCAGUUUAAAUAAAAAUCGGUGUGGUUGCUGCCUUUCGUGGUGACGUACCGGAUUUGGUUGUCCUUGCUUUGGGUUAGGGACCUUAAAAUUUUGAUGGUUUUUUUGAACGGAAUUAAAUUAACUUUCCUUAGUUUUGCGUU
rnacentral:misc_RNA from 1 species